AGCCGCUUUUUUAUAUGUCCAUUUAUCUCUCGACCACAUAGGUAUGAGAACUUCUAUAUUAGUGGGCUUUCGAUAUACAGUCGUGCUGAUUACUGGAGGUUCGUAUAUGAUUUGUACGUCCAGGAAGUGUAUCCUCUGUUCAUCUUUUUGUUCUGCGUUAAGUUGGAGACCGUGGUUUUUAUCUGUAAAGGCAGUCACGGGAUCUGCUGUUCUGUCCACGUUGUCCCAUACAACAAAGAUACUUGGAAGAAACUAAAGUUAAGAACCUGAUUAACGAAGCCACCCUCUACACAAGAUACGU
rnacentral:lncRNA from 1 species